rnacentral:misc_RNA from 1 species
ACGAGUGCAAGUAUUCCAUUCCAAAAGCUGCAUCCAUUGCAAUUAUAAGUUUUUUGCGGCGAUCAAGUGAUCUAUCCUUCUUAAGUAGGACAUGCCUAAGUGAUCCAUUGACCAUAUAUUCAGUCACAGUGGCUAAGGUUCCUCCAGCCCCAUCUGGAACUACCCCAUAAAAUGCAACCACAUUUGGAUGAUGAAGAUUUGAGAGGAUCUGUGCUUC